rnacentral:rRNA from 1 species
UACGUAGGUGGCAAGCGUUGUCCGGAUUUACUGGGCGUAAAGGGAGCGUAGGCGGAUUUUUAAGUGAGAUGUGAAAUACCCGGGCUUAACUUGGGUGCUGCAUUUCAAACUGGAAGUCUAGAGUGCAGGAGAGGAGAAGGGAAUUCCUAGUGUAGCGGUGAAAUGCGUAGAGAUUAGGAGGAACACCAGUUGCGAAGGCGGCUCUCUGGACUGUAACUGACACUGAGGCACGAAAGCGUGGGGAGCAAACAGGAUUAGAUACCCGUGUAGUCCCU